GUGCCAGCCGCCGCGGUACUACCGGCAGCUCAAGUGAUGGCCGAUCUUAUUGGGCCUAAAGCGUCCGUAGCUGGCCUCGCAAGUCCGUCGGGAAAUCCAGUAGCCCAACUACUGGGCGUCCGGCGGGAACUACAAGGCUUGGGACCGGAAGGCUCGAGGGGUACGUCCGGGGUAGGAGUGAAAUCCCGUAAUCCCGAACGGACCACCGAUGGCGAAAGCACUUCGAGAAAACGGAUCCGACAGUGAGGGACGAAAGCUAAGAUCGCGAACCGGAUUAGAAACCCGUGUAGUCC
rnacentral:rRNA from 1 species